AGUCGACGAAGAUACUUAAAAUGAGAGCUUCGGCAGGAUUUUUAUUUAUCUUAGUGGCGGACGGGUGAGUAACGUGUGGGCAACCUGCCCUAUACUGGGGAAUAAUCACUGGAAACGGUGACUAAUACCGCAUGUCAUUACGGAAGGGCAUCCUUCUGUAAGAAAAGGAGUAAUUCGGUAUAGGAUGGGCCCGCAUCUGAUUAGCUAGUUGGUGAGAUAACAGCCCACCAAGGCGACGAUCAGUAGCCGACCUGAGAGGGUGAUCGGCCACAUUGGGACUGAGACACGGCCCAAACUCCUACGGGAGGCAGCAGUGGGGAAUAUUGCACAAUGGGGGAAACCCUGAUGCAGCAACGCCGCGUGAAGGAAGAAGGUUUUCGGAUCGUAAACUUCUAUCAACAGGGACGAAGAAAGUGACGGUACCUGAAUAAGAAGCCCCGGCUAACUACGUGCCAGCAGCCGCGGUAAUACGUAGGGGGCAAGCGUUAUCCGGAAUUACUGGGUGUAAAGGGAGCGUAGGCGGCACGCCAAGCCAGAUGUGAAAGCCCGAGGCUUAACCUCGCGGAUUGCAUUUGGAACUGGCGAGCUAGAGUACAGGAGAGGAAAGCGGAAUUCCUAGUGUAGCGGUGAAAUGCGUAGAUAUUAGGAAGAACACCAGUGGCGAAGGCGGCUUUCUGGACUGAAACUGACGCUGAGGCUCGAAAGCGUGGGGAGCAAACAGGAUUAGAUACCCUGGUAGUCCACGCCGUAAACGAUGAGUGCUAGGUGUCG
rnacentral:rRNA from 1 species